UACGAAGGGGGCUAGCGUUGCUCGGAAUCACUGGGCGUAAAGGGUGCGUAGGCGGGUCUUUAAGUCAGGGGUGAAAUCCUGGAGCUCAACUCCAGAACUGCCUUUGAUACUGAAGAUCUUGAGUCCGGGAGAGGUGAGUGGAACUGCGAGUGUAGAGGUGAAAUUCGUAGAUAUUCGCAAGAACACCAGUGGCGAAGGCGGCUCACUGGCCCGGUACUGACGCCUGAGGCACGAAAGCGAUGGGGAGCAAACGG
rnacentral:rRNA from 1 species